rnacentral:misc_RNA from 1 species
GUGUGUGUCAGCUGGCCUGGCUCGCCAGCUGAUGUCAGUGUUCACAAGACGGUCGACGAGUAAGGACGUCGUGCCGCUGCUCUGGUCCCUCCUGCACCCUUGCCAGGGUAACACCUCUGCAACAUGGCUCAGUUACUGGGCAGUUACAUUGAUACCAAGAGAAAGGCAGCAUGGAGGUAUAUAGAGGAAUGGCAGUCAACAGCCUAUUCACUGGUUGUGUUCACAGCAACAAUGAUAGUCAUGUUUUGGGCGAGUGUUUUUCUCUACACAUCUUUCUACUUCACCUACAUGCCGGAGGAAUCUAUUACUUGGCCAAUAAAUUUUCAUUACCGUUCAUGCCAGGAAAAGCCGGGUAUCUGCAGCAAUCCAUGUGCCAUUGUUGCCGUUACUGACCCUAAUCGUGGCUCUGUCCUUGCCCGAGGUCAGAAAUACCGUGUGGUUGUUGACUUUGAGAUGCCAGAAUCGCCCACAAACCAAAGGAUAGGUAAUGAAGAUAACAUGUUAAGUCUAGGUAUGUUCCUGAUCAACAUGAGCAUGAAGACGCAUACAGGGGAAGUGCUUCGUGAAUCCUCACGCUCCAGCAUGCUGCGUUAUAAGUCGCCUCUUCUGCAAACAAUAUCUACCAUGACCUUUUCUCCCUUACUUCUGUAUGGUAUACAAGAGGAGAAACAAAUGGUGACGGUGGAACUCUUCUCUCAGUACGAGGAAGACCCGGUGAUACCACUCUCUGAGGUUCAUGUAGAGCUGCAGACCCGGUUCGUAGAACUAUAUGGUGCACAACUACGAAUUCAUGCCGUUUUCUCUGGUCUUCGUUACCUUAUGUAUCACUACCCACUUACAGCAGCCACCAUGGGUAUUGGUAUUUGCAUGAUGUUCCUCUCUGCUGUUGUGAUCUUCAGCUGGUACCAGUUUUCUGGACCCACCUUGAAUGCCAGGAUUGGUGCAAAUCAAAUGGCUUACCCUAAUGGCAAUGCUCUACCAAUUUCUCAAGGCAACAGCAAGUCAACUAACUCAACAAAUGAAGAAUCUAUGGAUGUCUUGGAACAAACCGUGAGCUCGACUUCCUCUCCCAAGACAUCAAAACAGUCUCCUGACAGUUCAGUUCCUGGAAAGGCGGCUGGAAGUGAAGAAGCUCACGAGAAGGGAAGGUCUGAUCAUGUGGAAACAAAGAGACGUGACAGCGAUGAUUUUGAGGUGGUCAGCUCAUCAAAGAUGCCAGAUGAAAUAGGCUGCCAUAAAGUAUCAAAACCAACUGUCUGUCUGCCAAGUGAGGUAGACAGUAGACAGGGAUCAGAUGUUUACGGUAGUGAUGAUCAUGGCUUAACAGGUGAGGCAGUUAGUCAACAGUUACCAGGCAUGUGCAAAAAUGAUGAUGACGACAUUUCAGGUGAGACAGACAGCAGACAAGGCUCUAUAUAUGAUGACCAGGACAGUGACAGUACAGUCGACUUGACUGGUUGCAAACAAGUCUCAAGCGCUGAUGGUGAGGAGGAUUGUGUCAUUCGCCAAAGAAUACAAACUGCAGAAUAGACACAUUACAAGUCACCGAAUGUUUAUCCAUUCAGUGAAUAUAUAUAGAAUUGAAGAUGCAUUACUCUCUGCUACUAGUUCUUAUGGUUGUAGUGAAUGUUGGUGCUGGCAUCAUCCCAGGAUCUCCUGUUGGAAUGCCUCCAGGUGUUAGCAGCUUCAUCCCACCUUUCGUCCAGGCCUUCAUUCCCACGGCUGAUGAGAUUCAGGGUCUGGCUGCCCUUCACACCACUGCUGUCCCGGUGUUAGCUCCUGUGGCCCCUGCAGCCCCUGCAGC